GAAAUGCGAUAAGUAAUGUGAAUUGCAGAAUUCAGUGAAUCAUCGAAUCUUUGAACGCACAUUGCGCCCGCCAGUAUUCUGGCGGGCAUGCCUGUUCGAGCGUCAUUUCAACCAUCAAGCCCCCCGGGCUUGUGUUGGGGACCUGCGGCUGCCGCAGGCCCUGAAAACCAGUGGCGGGCUCGCUGUCACCCCGAGCGUAGUAGCGUAAACCUCGCUCAGGGAGUGCUGCGUGUCCCUGCCGUAAAAAGCGUCUUACGACACCCAAAGGUUGACCUCGGAUCAGGUAGGAAGACCCGCUGAACUUAA
rnacentral:misc_RNA from 1 species